GAUGAACGCUGGCGGUGUGCUUAAUACAUGCAAGUCGAGCGAACAGACGAGGCGCUUACUCCUCUGACGUUAGCGGCGGACGGGUGUGUAACAUGAGGAUACUCCACCUAUAUGACUGGGAUAACUUCGGGAAACCGGAGCUAAUCCCGGAUAACCUGUUGAACCGCAUGGUUCAAUAGUGAAAGUCGGUCUUGCUGUAACUUCUCGCUGGAUCCACGUCGCAUUAGCUAGUUGGUACGGUAACGGCGUACCAAGGCAAAGAUGCGUAGGCGACCGGAUAGGGGGGUCGGCGACACUGGAACUGAGACACGGUCCAGAGUCCUACGGUAGGCAGCAGAAGGGAAUGUUCCGCAGUGGUCGAAAGCCUGACGGAACAACGCCGCGUGAGUGAAGAAGGUCUUCGGAUCGUAAUACUCUGUUAUUAGGUAAAAACAAAUUUGUAAGUAACUAUGCACGUCUUGACGGUACCGGGUCAAAAAGCCACGGCUAACUACGUG
rnacentral:rRNA from 1 species